rnacentral:snRNA from 1 species
GUGCUUGCUUCGGCAGCACAUAUACUAAAACCGGAACAAUACAGAGAAGAUUAGCAUGGUCCCUGUGCAAGGAUGACAUGCAAAUUGGUGUCAAAUUCCUUAUUUUU